AUUGAACGCUGGCGGCAUGCCUUACACAUGCAAGUCGAACGGUAACGGGCCUUCGGGUGCCGACGAGUGGCGGACGGGUGAGUAAUACAUCGGAACGUGCCCGAUCGUGGGGGAUAACGAGGCGAAAGCUUUGCUAAUACCGCAUACGAUCUACGGAUGAAAGCAGGGGACCGCAAGGGCUUGCGCGGACGGAGCGGGCGAUGGCAGAUUAGGUAGUUGGUGGGAUAAAAGCUUACCAAGCCGACGAUCUGUAGCUGGUCUGAGAGGAUGAUCAGCCACACUGGGACUGAGACACGGCCCAGACUCCUACGGGAGGCAGCAGUGGGGAAUUUUGGACAAUGGGCGCAAGCCUGAUCCAGCCAUGCCGCGUGCAGGAUGAAGGCCUUCGGGUUGUAAACUGCUUUUGUACGGAACGAAAAGCCUUCUUUUAAUACAGGAGGGUCAUGACGGUACCGUAAGAAUAAGCACCGGCUAACUACGUG
rnacentral:rRNA from 1 species